UACAGAGGGGGCAAGCGUUGUUCGGAUAUACUGGGCGUAAAGCGCACGUAGGCGGCGUCGUAAGUCAGGGGUGAAAUCCCGGAGCUCAACUCCGGAACUGCCCUUGAAACUGCAAUGCUAGAAUCUUGGAGAGGCGAGUGGAAUUCCGAGUGUAGAGGUGAAAUUCGUAGAUAUUCGGAAGAACACCAGUGGCGAAGGCGACUCGCUGGACAAGUAUUGACGCUGAGGUGCGAAAGCGUGGGGAGCAAACAGG
rnacentral:rRNA from 1 species